GUGUGCAGUCCGUCUGUCCAAUGAUUAGCCAGCCGACCUGGAGAGGGCCCUGGAAGGUGCCCAAAGGAGCAGAGAUGGGGAGCUGGAUCCGCGCAGAACCCCGGAAAAGCGCCAGCAGGAUUGCACCGAGAACAAAUCCUCCGCACCCUCGCCCAGGGCUGGGGCGCAGUGCGCUGGUGCUCCUCUAGCUGGGCGGUCCCUGUGCUCCAAACAAGAAGAUAGCUGACUUCCGGAUCCUUCACUCUUUGAUCCUGACCCAAGCCACUCGUGCCACUAGGAGCGCAUGCCUAUGGAAUACUCGCUCCUGUCUCCUUGUGGUGAAGCCUUCCGCUAAUGCCCAGAGCCUCCCAGGCUGGAUUAGUGGGUAGGAGCAAAACAGGAUAGUGGAGACAAUCAGCAGAGCAGCAGCGUCUAUUUCCUCGGGAUUCCUCCCAGGAACCCUAUUCGAAGCCAUUCCUUCUAAAAGUUUGCAGCCAGUCUCUCUUUCCUUUGUUGGUUUUAAGAGGAGGCAGUAGAGCUACCUACAUACAAAAACGAAAGCCUGAUACUGGUAACCUAAGUCUUUACUUAACCAUCCUCUUCGGAGGCUUUGCACACAUUACUUUUCCUCUAUGCAUUGUCAUUUCUGAAAUAAGGAUGGUCAUACUGGUGUGCUUGGAAUUUCUCUGAAAUAUACUCCUAAAAGAUUAGAUUAAGAUUAGAUUCCGCUACUCUAAAAUGAAAAAAAUAUAUUUAUCUGUUUAAAAAGGUAAUACAUAUUCUCCAAGAUGUUAAUUAAAGGCUUCCCUCAAAUGGAUUGGAUUUUCAGUUCCUUCAGGGUUUUCCACACCCUAAUGGUAUUGCAUUUGUAAGGCAUUUUUACAGUGUAA
rnacentral:antisense_RNA from 1 species